rnacentral:rRNA from 1 species
GACGAACGCUGGCGGCGUGCUUAACACAUGCAAGUCGAACGGAAAGGCCCCGCUUUUGUGGGGUGCUCGAGUGGCGAACGGGUGAGUAACACGUGAGUAACCUGCCCUUGACUUUGGGAUAACUUCAGGAAACUGGGGCUAAUACCGGAUAGGAGCUCCUGCUGCAUGGUGGGGGUUGGAAAGUUUCGGCGGUUGGGGAUGGACUCGCGGCUUAUCAGCUUGUUGGUGGGGUAGUGGCUUACCAAGGCUUUGACGGGUAGCCGGCCUGAGAGGGUGACCGGCCACAUUGGGACUGAGAUACGGCCCAGACUCCUACGGGAGGCAGCAGUGGGGAAUAUUGCACAAUGGGCGGAAGCCUGAUGCAGCAACGCCGCGUGCGGGAUGACGGCCUUCGGGUUGUAAACCGCUUUCGCCUGUGACGAAGCGUGAGUGACGGUAAUGGGUAAAGAAGCACCAGCUAACUACGUG